UACGGAGGGUGCAAGCGUUAUCCGGAUUCACUGGGUUUAAAGGGUGCGUAGGCGGGUUGGUAAGUCCGUGGUGAAAUCCCCAAGCUUAACUUGGGAACUGCCUUGAUACUAUCUGAUCUUGAAUAUUGUGGAGGUAAGCGGAAUAUGUCAUGUAGCGGUGAAAAUGCUUAGAUAUGACAUAGAACACCUAUUGCGAAGGCAGCUUACUACGCAUAUAUUGACGCUGAGGCACGAAAGCGUGGGGAUCAAACAGG
rnacentral:rRNA from 1 species